GAGUUUGAACUAUUGUUGUAUUCUAAAGUACUGCAAGAUUAAACAUCUUGUGAAGGAAAGGAUGUGGAACUACUCUUUCUUUUUAGGGUUUCGAUUCAACAAUUUCAUUUUUUCUUUUCUAUCGAUUGAGGUUUAGCAUUUGAAUUAGGGAUUUGCUUUUUCAAAUGGAGGACAGUGAACUUGAUUUCUCACCGUUGGGUUUGCGUUCAUCUUCCUCUCGCCGUUGGGUUUGCAUUCAUAUCUCUCAUCGCUGGGUUUACAUUCAGUUUCUUUCACCAGUGAUUAUAUGCAUGUCAUGUCAGAAGGCUUAAAUAGUCAAGAGUUAGAGAGAAGGGAACCAAGGUAUUUUCAAGGGUGAUUAAUAGAGGAAGGAAGGAAUAAGAAGCAAGGAUCUAGGAGUUCAUUUCAAUUUUCCAUCUGUUUCGUUUGAGGGCUGGUGUUAUUCUUUGCAUUGAAAAUGCAAUAGCUAAUUCUUGUGUUUCAAGGGAGGAUUUGAACUAGAUAAAUGCACGUGCCACAACCACACCUGCUGAAGAUCUUAAGGAGUACCACGCUUUGAUUCCUUGUUUUGGCCAAAAUCCUAAGGAGAUUCAUCCAAGUGGUGAGGAAGGUCAUGUAAUGUUAUUUUAGAAGGGACACAUUUGGAUUAGAAUCUCAAGCUUCCACUGUCAAAGAAUCUUUGAAAUCAUGGCCUUCAAUUUCUAUUGACGUGGUAUCUACAGAUAAAGUUGCUGCUAAGGAGGCUAAGAU